CUCGCUGCGCCGCGCUGGGCUGAGCCGAGCCGAGCUGGGCCCGCCUCCCGCCGGGUGUCCUCCCCUGACACGGCGCCGGGCGGGCUAUUUAUAACCGCCGGGAGGGACCCGCGAACGCAGCCGCUUCCCCCCGGCCGAGCGCUCUGAGUCACGGCGCAGAGCCGGGCACCGCCGCCUCGCGGAUCCCGGCCGCCCCCGGACCCUCAGCGAGCGAACGGCGGCGGGAAGCUGCGCGCUCCCCCCACGCCCGGCCCCGCCGCUGCCGCCCGCGGGCCGAGCCCCAUGGCCGCGGCCCCCGCCCCGCCUCCGCCUGCCCUCCUCCUCCUCCGCCCCGCCGGGCGCUGCCUUCCCCCCGCCCCGCGGGGCACAAACAUCACAGCCCGCCCGGCACAGCGGGGGGGAUCGCCUCGCCCUGCCGCGGGCAAAGGCGGCGGGGCGGCCGCGCGGCGAACCCCGACCCGCCCCACGCCGCGCUCAUCCCGGCCGGGCCCCGCCGCCCGCAUCACGUGCCCCGCGGCAGCCAAUCGGCUGCACCCACUUCCGCCCGCCGAGCAGCCCGGUUGCCGUGGCGACGCGGCGCCGGCUCGGGCCGCCGAGGGCCGAGCGCUCCUCUCCCGGGCCCUGGGCGGCUCGGGGCAGCCUGUCCGUGCCGGCGCUGACCGCUCGGAAGGCCGUCCUCCGGCUGUGCCGGGAUCUCUGCGGAUGGAGGCACCGAGGAGCAGCGUAACCGCUCCUUCUCGCAGAGGGAUGGUCGGCCGGUGUCGUUGCAAAACGUACAAAACAUUGAACAUCUCAGAACAACUCAGUUCUACUCCAUUCGGUCUGUGUAAACUGCGCCCGUUUCCCUCUCAUUUAUCAGAUGGGCAUCAUUACACGGGGCGGAUAACCCGCCCUAUAAACACCUGUCCUUCUGGUCACAGCCCGACGGACACAGCAGGGAGCAGCGCUGUGAGCCUACAGCCCGAAGCCCACGAGUGGCGGUGCUGUGUGUGGCUGCCACAGACCUGCUUGGCCAUCACGGGCCAGGAGCUCUGCCCGGAUGCAGUGUGAUUGCACGGGUGGCAAUCCAGGAUUAGAAAAGGAGGAACUGGACUGAGCAAUAAGUAGAGUGAAUAAAGGGACGUGUGAAGUUUAGCAUGACUACCCGGGGCAUGAUUCAGCCACCUGUCAGUUCCCCACACUGCUGAUUGCCCUCAGAUCACAUCCUCCAGCCUCUAAUUGUUGCUGUAAAAAAUUGCAAAUUAGUUUGUAGCUCGUCCUAAUAUUGGUUUUGCAAUCAAAAUCCAAUCUAUCAUCCCACUGUUUAAACACGGCUAUAGCUCUUACGCUGUUAUGCGUCACAUAGGCUUUAAUUUUUAAUCAUUUCUGAAGUCUUAAUCUCUCUUUGGCAUUUCUUUGUUGGUAACAAAUCACCGGACACAAACAGGCCCAGCUUCUGAGAAAGCACUUCCUCCAAGUGCUUUUCCCACUGUGUUUUCUUAACUAAUGAGCCAAAUAUUAAGCACAGUUUCCCGUUUCUUCGGCAGUCCGGCCAGCUGGAAAUGUAGGUGCCAGCCUGAAAACCUCUUAUCAUAAGGAGAUAAUCCUAAGGGAUAUGACGAGAGUAGGGCGGGUGUGAUAUGCGUGCUCCUAAUGUGCAUGGCUGUGUAGGGGAUUUCAGGGUCGGCUUCUCCUGUUGACUCAGAUAAGUUUUGGACCCUCCGAGGAAGGGAUACAUUUGAGAUCCAUGCUUUGGGUCCAGACAAAGAAAGGCUCUUUCCCUUUUGACCGCACAGACAUUUAAAAGAACUAAAACAAACAGGCAAACAACAAAAGACACCACAGGCAGAACAAUGAGACUGACUGGAAGGAUCUAAUCAUACAGUAGCUCAUGAAUAAUACUGAAAACAAAAUGAGGAUGAACAGCUCAAAGAAAGAUGUGGACUGUGUUUGGCUACAGCGGCUAAAAAUGGCUUGGACUCAUACCUUUCCUCUCAGUCAGCAACCAGAUGAUGCACACUGUGUGAAUACACACAGAAAAUAUGGCAUUAGGGGAUUCAGCCAUGAGAAUUUGCUUACGCAUACCUGAAGAUUCUUUGAGAAUGACAGAACCAAAAUGUGCUUCUGAUCUGAGAAACCAAACACAAAGUGUCUAAAAAACCGUAUCGCUGUGUUACACAUCACGCAAAAGCAGAAUUAUCUUAGAAACACUAAGAGAUCUUUCACUGCCAAGCCCCAACCAACACUUGCCUCUAGGAGCACAAGCACAAGCAAAACCUGGUUUGUUAUCAGGUUGUAUCUCACAUCUGAUUAUCUUGGGUGUCUGCACAGGUGAGAGUGCAUGCUGCGGUGUCUGUGCAGUCACAGAGGCUCUCAGGCAGUCUCUGGUGCUUAGAAGCGCAAGUUUCCCUGGCAGCCUCAUUCUCAGUAGGAACAUUUAUAAGAGCUUGGGAUUUUACAAGUCCCUACCUGGGGCAGUGUGGCACAGUGCUGUCACAUGAGCCUUGUCCCCAUAGCAAUAGGAACAAGCCUCGUUUUUUACAGGAAGUUUUCCAAAAAAGUUUCUUCAAGACAAACAUAUGGCUGCUCCUUCUUUCAGAGCUUCAGCGCUUCAUGCUUUUGGCACUGCCCCUGCAGCCUGGGGCAAGGUGUAUUCUUGGUGACACCUCUAAGAGUCCUUUCAGCAUUAAUUGUCACAGAAAUGACUGUCUGAUGCAGCAGAUCGAGAUUCCUGCAAUUCCUGCAGCUAAUUACUGCCUGCUAAGCGAUGCAGCACAACUGCUUCUGACGUGGUUACCUCUGUGGUAAAAAACCACCACGCUCGGGAGAAUAUUACAGCCGAAAGAUGAAGUUAGAGAAUCUGAACAGUGUCUGAAGAUACAUUCUGCAGUGCAACAAACUUGAGAUGUGCUAAAAAAUGCCGAACAACCAAACUGUGAAGAAUCAACUGUGAUUUGUCACUGGUUGUAACUGCUUUGGAGAGAGCAUUAAAAUAGAAAUGAGUUAUGUGCUUGCAGGGAUUUAUUAAUCUGUAGGAACAGAAGAGCCAACUGUUACUGAGAAAAUUAUGAACUCAUCUAAUUAAAAUGCCAUAUGUUCUAAAUGUUUUGUUUUAGGGGUUAUGAUCAGCUUGGGGUUGGUUUCAAUGUAUACACAUAAGUAAAUCUAGUUGAAUGGAAGAGCAGACUUACCCAUAAUUCUUUCUGAAGACACUUAUAACCAUAAUAACAAGGAUAGUUUGAGAAAGUUUUCCUUCCUACGUCUGCCUUCCUUUGUGUUGUAGCCAUUGGCUUCAGCCUCCAGUACUUCUGACUGUAAAUCUGAGCAGCCCCUGGGCCUCUCCUGGUUACAUCUGGGGCCUGUCUCAAGAUCAAUGAGGAAAACAAACUCAUCUUUUUGUUUUGAAUUCCCAAAUAGGCUGUUGUAUCUAAGGCAGGCAAGAUACAGCCACGUGGCACAGAGCACUUCCCAAUGAGAGCCCUGUGCACUCAGUGCUGAUGCAGUGUUAUACACAGGCAUAGGGAAUGAAACCCUUCAGCCCAGGAUGCCCAACAUCAGCCUGUAAUGAUAUCUUGGAAUUUAAAUAACUGCCUGAUUUUCAAAGAAAAAAUAAUCUCCAGCUCCUGUUGACUUUGGCGGAAUCCACUGCAUUUUUGAAAAUCUGCCCACCUCUAUUUGGGUUCCUAAUUAUAGAAUUUGGUACCUAAUUUUAGGCACUUUUUGAAACUGUUGACCAGUGGGCUUGAUUCACUGCUUGUUACAUCAGCUCUCCCUGGUAUAAAUGCUUCGGAUGAGAAAAUGGAUUUACUUCCACGGGAAACCUUCCCCAGGACUGGGAAAUGGGGAUCUGUGGCAGAGUAGGAACAGGAAUUUUUGUUGUUGUCUUUCCUAGAAAUACCAAUCACUGGGCUGCUGUUAAAUAUUAUGAAGAGAAGUAAAUGAACACAAGAGCAGAUCAAUAUGCGCUCUGCUGUUAGACAUAAGCCACCUUACAGGGACUUCUCUUUUCAUAUGGCUCGUACCAACCACCCCACUGCUUAAUUUCUCUACUGUUCAGCCAUUUUAAAGUAAAAAUCAUAUAGCUGUUACCAUGUUCUGAUCUCCUAGAUUCACUUGUUGAAAUUAUUAAGAUAGCAUCUGAUUAGUUUUCUCUCCCAUGUGCUCUCAAAUGCCUUUAUUUUCCAAGCAGUGCUGUCCCCCUGGAGGUGCAGCCAGAGCUAAGUUAGGAUGGAACUGUGGGAACAACAGGGCGAUAAUUGCACCCCUCUCAAAAAGAAAGCUUAUAUUCCUUGCCAGAAAUCAUUUCCUGGGCUCAACACUUUGCUGCUACACGUUGUUCACACGCAGCAGAUUCCUUUAGUUGGUAAGACUGCAGCAGCUGGCUUCAUUUCAUCAGCACUGGACAAAUCACGCCAUAAGACACUGAAAAGUAAACUGUAGGUCCGUGAAUAGAUGGUUAAUUUCCGAAAGAGAAAGAAAUUAUUUUUUACAUAGAAGAUCUUUUCUUUGGCUGCAAUGUUCAUCCUAGGCUGGGAACAAUUUUUCUUCAAUAUUUUUUCAAGGGGAUUGUGCAAGUUCACUGAUGAAUUCUGACAUUACUCCGUGUUUACCCAGGACUAAACUCGAUGGAAACAUUAAUCAGAAAAUGUAUACAUUUCCAUAGGAAAACUGGAGUUUGUGUAGCAGCAGCAAGCCCCAACAUUCCCUGUACAGAAGGUAGAGAUGUUUGCUUGCCAAGAGAAACGGCAAGAUGUUGUCAGCAGCAGAAGUUCUGGGGAAAGGAGAAGCACAAGGACUGUUUCCAAUCUGGGUCAUCUCAUACCACUCAGUGCAGUCAGUUUACUUCCGAGCAGAACAGAAGCACCUUCACUGCCCCAAAAGCACACAGCCUGAUUGUUCCCUGCUCACACCAGUGUGAUUCAGCAAUGACCCCACCGCAGCCUAUAGAAUCACAUCAAUGUAAAGGUGACGUCAGAGAGAUAGCAAUCAAAGCCCUUGUUCCAAAGUUAAUUGUUUUUGCUGAAAAAAAAGAUGAGUACAGAACGUGUUUAUUCUCCUUCUCAACUGAAAUGUCAAAUAAAUGCUGCAGUUUUGGCUUCUG